AUGAAACUACUUGCUCAACAGCAUCAAGCAGGGAGGCCGUGGCUGUGUUUGGGUGACUUUAAUGAAAUCCUAUCAAUGGAUGAAAAAAUCGGUGGCGCUGUCAGGCCACAGCGACACAUGGAUAGAUUUAGAGAAGCGUUGGAGGCCUGUGAGCUAUGUGACAUUGGUUAUGAGGGGGACAAAUACACGUGGAGGAACCAUAGCAAGAACAAGAGGUUGGACAGGGCUACAGCUAACGCCUCAUGGUGCGAAUGGUUUCCUGAGUUCGUAGUUAUAAAUGGAGCUCCACGACAUUCUGAUCACCGACCGGUCAUU
rnacentral:rRNA from 1 species